CCUAUGGGAGGCAGCAGUGAGGAAUAUUGGUCAAUGGGCGCGAGCCUGAACCAGCCAAGUAGCGUGAAGGAUGACUGCCCUACGGGUUGUAAACUUCUUUUAUAAAGGAAUAAAGUGAGGCACGUGUGCCUUUUUGUAUGUACUUGAUGAAUAAGGAUCGGCUAACUCCGUGCCAGCAGCCGCGGUAAUACGGAGGAUCCGAGCGUUAUCCGGAUUUAUUGGGUUUAAAGGGAGCGUAGAUGGGUUGUUAAGUCAGUUGUGAAAGUUUGCGGCUCAACCGUAAAAUUGCAAUUGAUACUGGCAGUCUUGAGUACAGUUGAGGUAGGCGGAAUGCGUGGUGUAGCGGUGAAAUGCUUAGAUAUCACGAAGAACUACGAUUGCGAAGGCAGCAUACUAAACUGCCACUGACAUUGAUGCUCGAAAGUGUGGGUAUCAAACAGGAUUAGAUACCCCUGUAGUC
rnacentral:rRNA from 1 species